GUGCGUGGGGCGCGGUGCGGGGCGCUCGGCGGGGGCGAUCCCGCGGGGCGUUGGGUGCGGGCGGGCAGGAGGCGGCCGGGGCUGACGCAGCGCUCUCGCCCCGCAGCGGAGCAGCAGCCGCGAUGUCCGGCUUCGACGACCCCGGCAUUUACUACAGCGACAGUUUUGGGGGAGACGCACCCGUGGACGAGGGGCAGGUUCGGAAGUCGCAGCUGCAGAAGCGGUUCAAGGAGUUCCUGCGGCAGUACCGGGUGGGCACGGAUCGGACGGGCUUCACUUUCAAAUACAGGGAUGAGCUCAAGCGGCAUUACAACCUGGGGCAGUACUGGGUGGAGGUGGAGAUGGAAGACUUGGCCAGCUUUGAUGAAGAUCUCGCAGACUAUUUGUACAAGCAACCAACAGAGCACCUGCAGCUGUUGGAAGAAGCAGCAAAAGAAGUUGCAGAUGAGGUCACUCGUCCUCGUCCCUCAGGGGAGGAGGCUCUCCAAGACAUCCAAGUGAUGCUGAGGUCGGAUGCCAACCCAGCCAACAUCCGCAGCCUGAAGUCUGACCAGAUGUCCCACCUUGUGAAGAUCCCUGGGAUUGUAAUUGCAGCAACCCCCGUGAGAGCCAAAGCCACCAGAAUCACCAUCCAGUGCCGCAGCUGCCGCAACACCAUCAGCAACAUCGCCGUGCGCCCGGGCCUGGAGGGCUACGCUCUGCCCAGGAAAUGCAACACAGAACAAGCUGGCCGCCCAAGGUGCCCUCUGGACCCUUAUUUUAUCAUGCCAGAUAAGUGCAAGUGCGUGGAUUUCCAGGUUCUGAAACUGCAGGAGUCUCCAGAUGCUGUGCCACACGGGGAGAUGCCCCGGCACCUGCAGCUCUACUGCGACAGGUACCUGUGUGACAAAGUUGUCCCAGGGAACAGAGUCACUAUCAUCGGGAUCUACUCCAUCAAGAAAUCUGCGCAGAGCAAGAACAAAAGCCGUUACAGUGUGGGGGUGGGCAUCCGGAGCGCUUACAUCCGCGUGGUGGGCAUCCAGGUGGACACGGAGGGCUCAGGACAUAGCUUCAGUGGCUCGGUGACGCCUCAAGAAGAGGAGGAACUUCGUCGCCUUGCUGCCAUGCCCAACAUCUACGAGACCAUUGCCAAGAGCAUCGCACCCUCCAUCUACGGCAGCACUGACAUCAAGAAGGCCAUCGCCUGCCUCUUGUUUGGAGGCUCCCGCAAGAGGCUCCCGGAUGGCCUGACCCGCAGAGGGGACAUCAACUUGCUGAUGCUGGGGGACCCUGGCACGGCCAAAUCCCAGCUGUUGAAGUUUGUUGAGAAGUGUUCGCCCAUUGGGGUGUACACCUCAGGAAAAGGCAGCAGCGCUGCUGGCUUGACUGCCUCAGUGAUCCGUGACCCUGUCUCCAGGAAUUUCUUCAUGGAGGGAGGAGCCAUGGUGCUGGCAGACGGAGGAGUGGUGUGCAUCGAUGAGUUUGACAAGAUGCGGGAGGAUGACCGUGUGGCCAUCCAUGAGGCGAUGGAGCAGCAGACCAUCUCCAUUGCCAAGGCAGGAAUCACAACCACACUCAACUCCCGCUGCUCGGUUCUGGCAGCUGCCAACUCUGUCUUUGGGCGCUGGGAUGAGACCAAGGGCGAGGACAACAUUGAUUUUAUGCCCACCAUCCUGUCCCGAUUUGACAUGAUCUUCAUUGUUAAGGAUGAGCACAAUGAGGAGCGAGACAUGACACUGGCCAAGCACGUGAUGGCCUUACACGUGAGUGCCUUGACGCAGACCCAGGCCGUGGAGGGCGAGAUCGAGCUGAACAAGCUGAAGAAGCUCAUCUCCUUCUGUCGGACGAAAUGUGGCCCCCGGCUGUCGGCAGGGGCGGCAGAGAAGCUGAAGAACCGCUACAUCCUGAUGCGCAGCGGCACCCGCCAGCACGAGCAGGAGAGCGACCGCCGCUCCAGCAUCCCCAUCACUGUCCGGCAGCUGGAGGCCAUUGUGCGCAUUGCCGAGUCCUUGGCGAAGAUGAGGCUUCAGCCCUUUGCCACCGAGACAGAUGUUGAGGAGGCCUUGCGGCUCUUCCACGUGUCCACGCUCGAUGCGGCCAUGUCAGGCAACCUGUCAGGGGCAGAAGGCUUCACGACACAGGAGGACCAAGAGAUGCUGUCCCGCAUUGAGAAGCAGCUCAAGCGGCGCUUCGCCAUCGGCUCCCAGGUGUCGGAGCACAGCAUCGUCCAGGACUUCAUGCGGCAGAAGUAUCCAGAACACGCCAUCUACAAGGUGCUGCAGCUGAUGAUGCGGCGGGGGGAGAUCCAGCACCGCAUGCAGCGCAAGGUCCUGUACCGCAUCAAGUGACCUCCCUGUCCCGGGCUCCAGGAGGGAGCUGCUGCUGCUUGACGCCUACCCAGGAGCAGGCAGAGUGCCCCUGGGAGCUGGGGCCUGCUUCUGAAAGCUUUUCCUUGGAGACCCAAAAAGCCCCAGGCCUCCAUCUUGAACCAGGGACAUGGCUGGAUUUUGGCUGCUGCUGGCUGCCAGAGGUGGUCAUGUGUCAUUCAGAGGUUUUAAAUGAACCAUCAUCUCCAGGAACAUCAAGCUGUGCCGGGCGUUGGCAGGUGUGGAGGGUCAUCCCCUCCUAUUUCCCUUCCAGGCCAUUGUGGUCUGUCAGCAAAAGCCUCCCUGCUUCACAGGCAGGCAGGACAUCGGGAUAACUUGCUGGAUCAACUCUCAGCACUGCCUGUUAGAAAUAGGACACCAAGGGACAUUCCUCAGAGAACACUCCCUGGACCAUCUGCUGCUUCCUGGCCAUUCUUCUUCUUGCCCUUCAGCUUUCACCCAGCCAAGGAGGUCCAGCACCUCCUCUCAGGACAGGUUUGCACCCAGCCCCAAGCCUGAAGACGCCGCUGCUUUGAGGAGACAGUGGCAGCGUAUCUCCCACAUCCAGAGGAACGAGCAGAAGACAGCAGAAAGAGAGAAAAGCAUGUUGAUCAACACCCAGGAGCCCCUGAAAUCAGAAAGGAGGUGGGAAGCGUUAUCUCUGAGUAUUGAGGCCAUCAGUCUGGAGCUGGAGUACCGCUGAGUGGGGCAGGCAAUGACAGAGAAAAGGAAAAUGCUAGAAUUUCAGAAGAAAAAACCCCACUUUAAAAUUUUCAAUACUUCAUUUUCUACCAAAUCCACGAGUGGAAAUUGGUGAAGAUGGCUUCAUGAAGAUGGAUUGAAUGAAGAUUCAUCUUGGAAGGAAUAAAAGAGCUCCUGUUCCUGUGGGAUCUGAAGACUUCACACCAGCUGGGCUUUUCACUCCCAGGGUUUCUGCAAGCCUGGAACAUGCUGACCUCCCCAUUCCACACCUGCCUCCUAGGGCUCCCUUCCUCUGCCACAGUGUCUUGCAGGAACCAACACUUCUCCUGGCUCUCCCAGGGGUGGGAAAGACCUGGUGUCACCGGGACAGGGGUGAACUGAAGGACAUGUCCCAGGAAAACUGCACGGGUGAUGAUGAAGAUCUGGUGUCUGUGGUGCAGCAUCACCCAGAUGUACACUUGCACCUAAAAUAUGGCUUUGACUUAACUGAACCUGAUUCUUAGUCAAAAAAUGGGCACUUUAUUUUUUUGUAUGGUGUAUGUAGGAAGGUAAGAGCAGAGAGUUCUUGAAUUAGGUGUAGAUGCUCCCCUUCAAGUUCCCCUUAAGGAUGCCCCAGUGUAUUUUCAGUACAGGGCAUUGUGUUUAUCUGCAAGGUAUCUCUAAGGAAGCACCCUUACCUAGGAGACAUGGGCUCCCCACAUCUGCAGUGCUGCUGAGACACAUUUGCUGUGAGCUAGAAGAAAAUAUUGCUCACAUCUAAGAUGAGAAGCCAUGGUUACAAAGUCCACAGAGACAGCAGAAGUCAACUCAGCAGUGACUUUCCCACAUUGAAAAAGAUCUAUGUCCUGGACAGACCCAGGGAUUUGUAGCAAAAGCCUUUUUAGGAGCUUGUGAACUGAGCAUGCAGACAGACACACCAGUGGCAAAAGCUGGAGGAGGCAUCGAAGGGCUGACAGAAGUUGGCAAGGAGAAGCUGCGAGAGUGAAGCUGGACCAAGAGAGCCAAGAAUUACCCAUCAUCCAGCCCGGAGCUACAGCAACACGGAAAGACAAGGCAAUCAAUCUUUCUAACUCACUUGGCUACAUGAUCAAGGAACAUUAAGCACUGCCAUCAGAAGGCUGCUGUACUUGGAAAGGUAUUUCAGGUCCACAGUGUACUGAACCAGAGCGUCCUGAGCAAGGCUGGGUGGGAGGUUACUGGUUGAUUCUUACAGAGACAGCAAACUCCUCAGCACAGGAAGAAAGGACCACACAUAAAGACUGUGCACGU